UGUUAAGCUACUAAGAGCAUAGGGAGAAUGCCUAGGUACCAAAAGCCGAAGAAAGACGUGAUAAGCUGCGAAAAGCCACGGGGAGAAGCAA
rnacentral:rRNA from 1 species